CAGCCGCCGCGGUAAUACCGGCGGCCCGAGUGGCGGUCACUAUUAUUGGGCUUAAAGCGUCCGUAGCCGGGGUGGGAAGUCCUCCGGGAAAUCUGGUCGCUUAACGAUCAGACUUCCGGAGGAUACUGCUGGCCUAGGGACCGGGAGAGGCCGAGGGUAUUCCCGGGGGAGGGGUGAAAUCCUGUAAUCCCGGGGGGACCACCUGUGGCGAAGGCGCUCGGCUGGAACGGGUCCGACGGUGAGGGACGAAGGCCAGAGGAGCGAACCGGAUUAGAUACCCGGGUAGUCCUGGCUGUAAACGAUGCGGACUAGGUGUCGGGCAAGCUAAGGGCUUGUCCGGUGCCGCAGGGAAGCCGUUAAGUCCGCCGCCUGGGGAGUACGGCCGCAAGGCUGAAACUUAAAGGAAUUGGCGGG
rnacentral:rRNA from 1 species